GAAAGGAAAAGGGAGAGGCUUUUGUAUUGGAUGGUUGGUUAUAUAGGUCAUAACCAUGUUCAAGCAACUUUCUGUGCUUGAGCUUAUAAAUAAAAUAUAUGAUCUACCACUGUUGCAAGAAACAUCAUCAUCUCAACUCAACUCAACUCCAAAAAUAUGACACAGUCUGCACCAGCAGAGCAGAAGAUGCACUAUGGUCAAGCUCAGACGGGUCGUGAGGAGAUGGGAAGCUUCUAUGCUUUUUUUUACACACUCUGUUGCUGCUUUUGCUGUUAUGAGGGUUGUAGGUGCUGCUCAGAACGCACCUGCUGUUGCUGUCCCUAGAUUGCCUAAUUUCCAAGAGACAUUUGUCAAGUUUAUGUUUCAUCAUUAGUUUCUUGUAUGAAAUGAUGAUUCUGUAAUCAAUCUUCUGUAUAAUAAUGAACUUCAAUUAUUUUUACUUUUUAUGAAA